CCUACGGGAGGCAGCAGUAGGGAAUAUUGGACAAUGGACGCAAGUCUGAUCCAGCCAUCCCGCGUGAAGGAUUAAGGCCCUAUGGGUUGUAAACUUCUUUUCUUUGGGAAUAAAAAGCGGUAUUCAUAUCGCCUUGAAGGUACCAGAGGAAUAAGCACCGGCUAACUCCGUGCCAGCAGCCGCGGUAAUACGGAGGGUGCAAGCGUUAUCCGGAUUCACUGGGUUUAAAGGGUGCGUAGGUGGCUUUGUAAGUCAGCGGUGAAAGCCUGGAGCUCAACCCCAGAAUUGCCAUUGAUACUGCAGAGCUUGAAUCAAGUUGAGGUGGAUGGAAUAUUACAUGUAGCGGUGAAAUGCUUAGAUAUGUAAUAGAACACCGAUUGCGAAGGCAGUUCACUAAGCUUGUAUUGACACUGAGGCACGAAAGCGUGGGGAUCAAACAGGAUUAGAUACCCUGGUAGUCCACGCCCUAAACGAUGCAAACUCGACAUUAGCGAUAUACAGUUAGUGUCCAAGCGAAAGCGUUAAGUUUGCCACCUGGGAAGUACGACCGCAAGGUUGAAACUCAAAGUGAUUAGACG
rnacentral:rRNA from 1 species